UAAUGCAUAAGAUUUGAAAAUACUAAGACGUUUGAUUAUUGUCUGGGAUGAAAGACUAACCGAAUUAUCUGGUAGCUGGUCACCUCUGAAGUUUUCCUCAGGAUAGUUGAAAUAAGUAAUGAAGCUCUUAUAUUCGGUAAAGAAAGUGAUUGGAGGAAUAGUGGGAUGAAACGUCUCUAACUUAUUCGCAAACUUUCAAUAAGUAUAACGUCUCGUUUGCUU
rnacentral:ncRNA from 1 species